UUGGCGGACGGGUGAGUAACGACGUGGAAAACCUAGCCGUAUACUGGGGGAGUAACACUUAGAAAUAGGUGCUAAUACCGCAUAAGCGCACAGCUUCGCAUGAAGCGGUGUGAAAAACUCUGGUGGUAUACGAUGGUUCCGCGUCUGAUUAGCUAGUUGGUGGGGUAAUGGCCUACCAAGGCAACGAUCAGUAGCCGGCCUGAGAGGGUGGACGGCCACAUUGGGACUGAGACACGGCCCAAACUCCUACGGGAGGCAGCAG
rnacentral:rRNA from 1 species